AGAUAAUCUUUCACCCAACGGUUAAGAAACUGGGGUGUGAUGGACGAUCUAGGUUGUCCAUUUGAUACACCUGAAAGGAGGAGACCUCAGCUGAAGAACUGCCUCCAUCAGACUUGCUUGUGGGGGAUAGGAAGGUGGCUGACCUUGAACCUGAGAGCAAGCCAGUGCGCAGUGGUCCUCUGCGGUUUGCUUCAGGCUUCGACCUUGAGUUCCUGUCUAGGAUUUUCUUCAUGGUGGACUACAAACUAUAAAAUGAAAUAAACUCCUCUCCUCUCCACAUUCGCUUGUGGUCAUGAUUUUCAUACCAACAGUCAACAAACCGGAGCUAAAACAGGUGGGUUGCACUCUCUGUUUAGAGCCAGUAGUGGAAGCAAGGAAGGAUCUGUUUGGGUUCCACCUCCACUAGCACUCUGUUCUCUGCAACCCCACAGGCUUUCUUUGCCUGCUUCUUCUGGCCCAGGAAGCUCUGAAUCCCUGACUCUUCGGUCACCACAUAGUUUCCUUGCAAUAGUUCAUCACUUCCAAUCCCCCAUGCCUUUCACCACCCUAUGGUCUGCUCCCUCCUGAGGGAAAAAGUCCUCAGAGGUGUUGAACCAGACUUCAGAGGCAUUGAAUACUUCUCCAUUUUCCUGUGGCACCUCUUUCCAUAUGUACCUUCAGGACCCUCUAGACCCAGCCUCCACCCCCAACUUCUCUGCCUCGAGGCCGCUCACACCAGCAGCCCAGCUGGUAUGUCCAAUACCCCCAGGUACACUCAGUGUCAACUGAGAGGUCACCUCUCAUUUUCCCUCUCUAUAGCUCCUGGUAGGAAGAACCCACAGGCCUCCAUGCCAACAGUAGCCAAAGCUCCCAUCUUCUACCACACCCACGGUCUCUUGAUCACCUCUGAUCCUUCCUCCCAAUCUGGAUAAAGUUUCCCACACAGGUCCUCUCUGUUGAUCACUUUCUUUUCCCUCCCUGGCUCAGGGCACAGGGCUUACCACCAGGCACACCAGUCUUAUCUCUGUGCAAAUACUUCCUGUUUCUCCAAUACUGGUUCUCACCCAAUCAGUAAUCAGGGUAAACUUCCUUCCACAAUUUACUGACCAAACAUUUACUGUAUAACUGCUCUAGGUAGGGUUCUGGCAAAGGGAGACCAAACCCAGUCUAUGCCCUGAGGAGGUUCUGGCAGAGAGGAAGGAAGCACAGACGUGGGAAAAGAAGAAGAAGAAGAAGAAGAAGAAGAAGAAGAAGAAGAAGAAGAAGAAGAAGAAGAAGAAGAAGAAGAAGAAGAAGAAGAAGAAGAAGAAAGAAGAAAGAAGGAAGAAGGAAGGGAAGGAAGAAAGGAAGGAAGAAAAA